UACGAAGGACCCAAGCGUUAUCCGGAUUUAUUGGGUUUAAAGGGUGCGUAGGUGGACUAAUAAGUCAGUGGUGAAAGCCCAUCGCUUAACGAUGGAACUGCCAUUGAUACUGUUAGUCUUGAGUACAGUUGAGGUAGGCGGAAUGUGUCAAGUAGCGGUGAAAUGCUUAGAUAUGACACAGAACACCAAUUGCGAAGGCAGCUUGCUAAGCUGUAACUGACACUGAGGCACGAAAGCGUGGGUAGCAAACAGG
rnacentral:rRNA from 1 species